rnacentral:rRNA from 1 species
UACGAAGGAUGCAAGCGUUAUCCGGAUUCAUUGGGUUUAAAGGGAGCGUAGGUGGCCUUAUAAGUCAGUGGUGAAAUCUCUCGGCUUAACCGAGAAAUUGCCAUUGAUACUGUAGGGCUUGAGUAUAGUUGCCGUUGGCGGAAUAUGACAUGUAGUGGUGAAAUACAUAGAGAUGUCAUAGAACACCGAUUGCGAAGGCAGCUGACGAAACUAUAACUGACACUGAGGCUCGAAAAGUGCGGGGGGAUCAAACAGG